GGAAUAUUGCUCAAUGGGCGCAAGCCUGAUGCAGCCAUGCCGCGUGUAUGAAGAAGGCCUUCGGGUUGUAAAGUACUUUCAGCGGGGAGGAAGGUGUUGAGGUUAAUAACCUCAGCAAUUGACGUUACCCGCAGAAGAAGCACCGGCUAACUCCGUGCCAGCAGCCGCGGUAAUACGGAGGGUGCAAGCGUUAAUCGGAAUUACUGGGCGUAAAGCGCACGCAGGCGGUCUGUCAAGUCGGAUGUGAAAUCCCCGGGCUCAACCUGGGAACUGCAUUCGAAACUGGCAGGCUAGAGUCUUGUAGAGGGGGGUAGAAUUCCAGGUGUAGCGGUGAAAUGCGUAGAGAUCUGGAGGAAUACCGGUGGCGAAGGCGGCCCCCUGGACAAAGACUGACGCUCAGGUGCGAAAGCGUGGGGAGCAAACAGGA
rnacentral:misc_RNA from 1 species